rnacentral:rRNA from 1 species
GAUGAACGCUGGCGGCGUGCCUAAUACAUGCAAGUCGAGCGAACAGACGAGGAGCUUGCUCCUCUGACGUUAGCGGCGGACGGGUGAGUAACACGUGGAUAACAUACCUAUAAGACUGGGAUAACUUCGGGAAACCAGAGCUAAUACCGGAUAAUAUAUUGAACCGCAUGGUUCAAUAGUGAAAGACGGUUUUGCUGUCACUUAUAGAUGGAUCCGCGCCGCAUUAGCUAGUUGGUAAGGUAACGGCUUACCAAGGCGACGAUGCGUAGCCGACCUGAGAGGGUGAUCGGCCACACUGGAACUGAGACACGGUCCAGACUCCUACGGGAGGCAGCAGUAGGGAAUCUUCCGCAAUGGGCGAAAGCCUGACGGAGCAACGCCGCGUGAGUGAUGAAGGUCUUCGGAUCGUAAAACUCUGUUAUUAGGGAAGAACAAAUGUGUAAGUAACUAUGCACGUCUUGACGGUACCUAAUCAGAAAGCCACGGCUAACUACGUG